rnacentral:rRNA from 1 species
UAAUACGGGGGGAGCAAGCGUUGUUCGGAUUUACUGGGCGUAAAGGGCGCGUAGGCGGCCACGACAAGUCACUUGUGAAAUCUCCGGGCUUAACUCGGAAAGGUCAAGUGAUACUGUCGGGCUAGAGUGCAGAAGGGGCAACUGGAAUUCUCGGUGUAGCGGUGAAAUGCGUAGAUAUCGAGAGGAACACCUGCGGCGAAGGCGGGUUGCUGGGCUGACACUGACGCUGAGGCGCGAAAGCUAGGGGAGCGAACGGGAUUAGAUACCCCGGUAGUCCUAGCCUUAAACGAUGAAUGCUUGGUGUCUCGGGUUAUAAAGUCCCGGGGUGCCGUCGCUAACGCUGUAAGCAUUCCGCCUGGGGAGUACGGUCGCAAGACU